GACGAACGCUGGCGGCGUGCUUAACACAUGCAAGUCGAACGGAAAGGCCCUGCUUUUGUGGGGUGCUCGAGUGGCGAACGGGUGAGUAACACGAGUAACCUGCCCUUGACUUUGGGAUAACUUCAGGAAACUGGGGCUAAUACCGGAUAGGAGCUCCUGCUGCAUGGUGGGGGUUGGAAAGUUUCGGCGGUUGGGGAUGGACUCGCGGCUUAUCAGCUUGUUGGUGGGGUAGUGGCUUACCAAGGCUUUGACGGGUAGCCGGCCUGAGAGGGUGACCGGCCACAUUGGGACUGAGAUACGGCCCAGACUCCUACGGGAGGCAGCAGUGGGGAAUAUUGCACAAUGGGCGGAAGCCUGAUGCAGCAACGCCGCGUGCGGGAUGACGGCCUUCGGGUUGUAAACCGCUUUCGCCUGUGACGAAGCGUGAGUGACGGUAAUGGGUAAAGAAGCACCGGCUAACUACGUG
rnacentral:rRNA from 1 species